CAGCAGCCGCGGUAAUACGGAGGGGGCUAGCGUUGUUCGGAAUUACUGGGCGUAAAGCGCACGUAGGCGGCUUUGUAAGUUAGAGGUGAAAGCCUGGGGCUCAACUCCAGAAUUGCCUUUAAGACUGCAUCGCUUGAACGUCGGAGAGGUGAGUGGAAUUCCGAGUGUAGAGGUGAAAUUCGUAGAUAUUCGGAAGAACACCAGUGGCGAAGGCGGCUCACUGGACGACUGUUGACGCUGAGGUGCGAAAGCGUGGGGAGCAAACAGGAUUAGAUACCCGAGUAGUCCCUGUCUCUUAUAC
rnacentral:rRNA from 1 species